CAUCAGAAAUCGAUCCUUCUACUAGCAAAUAGUAAUAUACCAUAAGCAUCUAUGGAUACCAAUUGAAACAUUCAUCUAUUUGACAAUGAAGAAAUAAUUGUUAAUUUCUUAUUGAAGAUGCUAGUAUGAAUUUGGAUCAUAAUGUCCAGUUGAGAAUCCGGUUCUGUUGAAGAAGAGAAACCGAUCGACACGUGCAGCCGAAUUGUGUCGAGGCCAAGAAGCAAUUGUGCAAGAACUGUUUUAUCGAAUGGUGUCGUGGAUUUUUAACAAAGAGGGACCAUGAAAUACAGCUUUUUCUCAACGCUACCGCUGGUAUCUGUUUUAGAAAGUCGAGCAAAUUGAAAAGGCCGAGGAUGUAAAAAGACGAGCAAAGAGAUGAAAUUUAAUCAAUGAUCAUAAACGUGAUUAAAAUGACUGAGUGUUCGUCAAACAUUCUCAAUGUAUUUAAUAUAUUUAAUUAUUUUUUCUUGUAUUUAUUCUAGUAAUACUUUCUAGUGAUGUUAUUCUAAUAUAUGCAACAUGAUUAUUCAGCACAAUGAUACUACAUAAUAAAAGAUAUUUGAA